AAAUUGAAGAGUUUGAUCAUGGCUCAGAUUGAACGCUGGCGGCAGGCCUAACACAUGCAAGUCGAGCGGAAACGAGUUGUCUGAACCUUCGGGGAACGAUAACGGCGUCGAGCGGCGGACGGGUGAGUAAUGCCUAGGAAAUUGCCCUGAUGUGGGGGAUAACCAUUGGAAACGAUGGCUAAUACCGCAUGAUGCCUACGGGCCAAAGAGGGGGACCUUCGGGCCUCUCGCGUCAGGAUAUGCCUAGGUGGGAUUAGCUAGUUGGUGAGGUAAGGGCUCACCAAGGCGACGAUCCCUAGCUGGUCUGAGAGGAUGAUCAGCCACACUGGAACUGAGACACGGUCCAGACUCCUACGGGAGGCAGCAGUGGGGAAUAUUGCACAAUGGGCGCAAGCCUGAUGCAGCCAUGCCGCGUGUGUGAAGAAGGCCUUCGGGUUGUAAAGCACUUUCAGUCGUGAGGAAGGUAGUGUAGUUAAUAGCUGCAUUAUUUGACGUUAGCGACAGAAGAAGCACCGGCUAACUCCGUGCCAGCAGCCGCGGUAAUACGGAGGGUGCGAGCGUUAAUCGGAAUUACUGGGCGUAAAGCGCAUGCAGGUGGUUUGUUAAGUCAGAUGUGAAAGCCCGGGGCUCAACCUCGGAAUUGCAUUUGAAACUGGCAGACUAGAGUACUGUAGAGGGGGGUAGAAUUUCAGGUGUAGCGGUGAAAUGCGUAGAGAUCUGAAGGAAUACCGGUGGCGAAGGCGGCCCCCUGGACAGAUACUGACACUCAGAUGCGAAAGCGUGGGGAGCAAACAGGAUUAGAUACCCUGGUAGUCCACGCCGUAAACGAUGUCUACUUGGAGGUUGUGGCCUUGAGCCGUGGCUUUCGGAGCUAACGCGUUAAGUAGACCGCCUGGGGAGUACGGUCGCAAGAUUAAAACUCAAAUGAAUUGACGGGGGCCCGCACAAGCGGUGGAGCAUGUGGUUUAAUUCGAUGCAACGCGAAGAACCUUACCUACUCUUGACAUCCAGAGAACUUUCCAGAGAUGGAUUGGUGCCUUCGGGAACUCUGAGACAGGUGCUGCAUGGCUGUCGUCAGCUCGUGUUGUGAAAUGUUGGGUUAAGUCCCGCAACGAGCGCAACCCUUAUCCUUGUUUGCCAGCGAGUAAUGUCGGGAACUCCAGGGAGACUGCCGGUGAUAAACCGGAGGAAGGUGGGGACGACGUCAAGUCAUCAUGGCCCUUACGAGUAGGGCUACACACGUGCUACAAUGGCGCAUACAGAGGGCGGCCAACUUGCGAAAGUGAGCGAAUCCCAAAAAGUGCGUCGUAGUCCGGAUUGGAGUCUGCAACUCGACUCCAUGAAGUCGGAAUCGCUAGUAAUCGUGGAUCAGAAUGCCACGGUGAAUACGUUCCCGGGCCUUGUACACACCGCCCGUCACACCAUGGGAGUGGGCUGCAAAAGAAGUAGGUAGUUUAACCUUCGGGGGGACGCUUACCACUUUGUGGUUCAUGACUGGGGUGAAGUCGUAACAAGGUAGCGCUAGGGGAACCUGGCGCUGGAUCACCUCCUUAUACGAUGAU
rnacentral:rRNA from 1 species